GCAUUCUUGGAUAGAGAAGAAUAUAUUCCUGAGAUUUUUUCAACACUGAACAUUAAUGCUUUACUGUUGAUAUAUGCGAUUUUUUUUUUAAAUAAAGUUAUAAAAUUAAAAAAAAAAUGAAAAGGUGAGAUUCUUAUUUUUAUUUGUAUUAUUAUUAAGGUGUGGUGAAAUUGUUGUUGCAAAUCCAAAUUCCAACGCAACGUAGGGGGAAGGCAACGCCAUUGAAUCCCUUCCCUUUCCAUUCCAAUUGGAAGGUUCAUAUUUCUUAAUGUGUUUUUGCAAUUUCAAAUCUAUUUGAUCUCAUAGACGGAGGCAUGGGUCAAGCUUUUCGGAAGCUCUUCGAUACCUUCUUCGGCAAUACCGAGAUGCGGGUUGUGAUGCUUGGUCUUGAUGCUGCUGGCAAAACAACUAUACUGUAUAAGCUCCACAUUGGAGAAGUUUUAUCUACUGUUCCUACAAUUGGUUUCAAUGUGGAGAAGGUUCAGUAUAAGAAUGUUGUUUUCACAGUUUGGGAUGUUGGAGGGCAAGAGAAACUAAGGGCACUUUGGAGGCACUAUUUUAACAACACUGAUGGUUUGAUAUAUGUUGUGGAUAGUCUGGACCGUGAGAGGUUAGGGAAAGCAAAGCAGGAAUUUCAGUGUCAUAUUGGUGUUUGCCAACAAACAAGACCUGAAAGGAGCAAUGUCGCCUAGGGAAGUAUGUGAAGGAUUAGGUCUCUUUGAUCUCAAGAAUAGAAAAUGGCACAUACAAGGCACUUGUGCUCUUCGGGGAGAUGGCCUUUACGAGGGCUUGGACUGGUUGUCCUCAACUCUAAAGGAGAGAAAAGCUGCUGGAUACUCUUCAAUAGGACUAGGAACUUCAUCCUUCUAAUUUCAAGAGGUAAUUGGCGAUGGAUGAAUGGGUAGUGUGGCCAGUUCGACGAUGAUCUGAUUGUUAAUCAAAUUUUUUGGGUUACAUCUGAAGCUGAUAAGUAUAAGUUGCUUCGCCUUUGAGGGUGCUUAAGAUAUGACUUACUCCAAUUAUAGAAGUUUGUGCAUGACGAAUGAUAAACUAAAAUUCUUUUGCAAUAUUUAUAUCCCUUAUUUUGUGCACGUGUACCGGAUACAAGGUCAUGGAUUCCGCAUCUCUUCACUUCUUCACUUGUUCAUUCUGCCUCAUUACCUUCACCUCACUUUGUAGUAUUUCUCUAUGGCUGUGGCUGUGCCUGUGCCUGUGAUGAUUCAUAAAAGUAAUGAUUCUGAUAAAUACAUUGGGAGCUUGUCUUGAUUUUCUUUUCGGCUACAUUUUCUUAUGAUUCAAUUAAAUUGGGUGGUUGCAAUACGUACUUUACUUUUGGUUAUAAUCCAGUCAUCUAUUGAACAUCAGAAAAUCGUUAUUGCAAUUGC